CACACAGAACAAACCAAACAACAAACAGGCCGUCGUUUGCUCUCCUUCUCAUAUCCCCAAUCGCUCUCCCUCUUAUCAACUGACCAUUGCCCAUCGCUUAUCGUCCCUCUCAUCGACGGUGAUCACCGUCCCUCACUGUGUCUCACCGUCUCAUCGCCACGGUCGGUACACCGUCUAGCCUCCAAUCGAUUUUGAUUCAGCUCUCUCUCUCUCUCUCUCUCUCUCUCUCUCUCUAUUUCCCUAUUUCACUCUAGCUCUAGGGUUUUUAUUUUGUUCUCUCUCUCUAUCUCUCUCUAUCUUAAGAGAUGAGAAGCAAUUUCUCAAACGUGAGGACAGAAUUUGUAUUUGCACCUUUCACGCAAAUGGAGGAACGGAGCGAGUGGAAGAACCGGUGGCAGGUCCAAUUGUCAGAGCUGAAGAGAAGAAGCAUGAAUAAGAACGCUCAUGGGAAUAUGUCAUGGGGAGCACGAAUGCGGAGGCAAAGAACUGACUCAUCAUCCACCGAAUUAUGAACGAAUUCGAGAUUUGAUAUGGACGUAUUUGGUAAUUUGGAGGGCCGAUGGUAGAAUAUGGACGUGUUUAAUCUGCCCUUUAUAUUUUAUUUUUGUUAAUAUUAGCAAACAUGUUUUUUGUUGGAUAUUAAGAGAUGUGUUUGGUAAUCUGCAUACGGUUGAUAUUAUAUUUUUGUGGAUAUUAGUAGACGUUUUUUGUGGAUAUUAGGAGAUAUGUUUAUAAUCCGCAUGCAGUUCAUAUUAUAUUUUUAUGGAUAGUGCUAAAAUUCGAUUGUGAUGUUUAUGAAAA